GACGAACGCUGGCGGCGUGCUUAACACAUGCAAGUCGAACGGUGAAGCGCCUUCCUUUUUGGUUGGUGUGGAUGAGUGGCGAACGGGUGAGUAACACGUGAGUAACCUGCCCCCUUCUUCUGGAUAACCGCAUGAAAGUGUGGCUAAUACGGGAUAUUCUGGGUCUGUCGCAUGAUGGGUCUGGGAAAGAUAUUGUUUCGGUGGGGGAUGGGCUCGCGGCCUAUCAGCGUGUUGGUGGGGUGAUGGCCUACCAAGGCGGUGACGGGUAGCCGGCCUGAGAGGGUGGCCGGUCACACUGGGACUGAGACACGGCCCGGACUCCUACGGGAGGCAGCAGUGGGGAAUAUUGCACAAUGGGCGCAAGCCUGAUGCAGCGACGCCGCGUGAGGGAUGGAGGCCUUCGGGUUGUGAACCUCUUUCGCCAGUGAAGCAGGCCUGCCUCGUUUGUGGGUGGGUUGACGGUAGCUGGAUAAGAAGCGCCGGCUAACUACGUG
rnacentral:rRNA from 1 species